rnacentral:rRNA from 1 species
AGAACGAACGCUGGCGGCAGGCCUCAAACAUGCAAGUCUAGGGGGGUAGCAAUACCCACCGGCGGACGGGUGCGUAACGCGUGGGAAUGUACCUAUUGGUUCGGAACAACACAGGGAAACUUGUGCUAAUACCGAAUGUGCCCGUAAGGGGAAAGAUUUAUCGCCAAUAGAUCAGCCCGCGUUCGAUUAGCUUGUUGGUGAGGUAAUGGCUCACCAAGGCGACGAUCGAUAGCUGUUCUGAGAGGAAGAUCAGCCACACUGGGACUGAGACACGGCCCAGACUCCUACGGGAGGCAGCAGUUGGGAAUCUGGACAAUGGGGGAAACCCUGAUCCAGCCAUGCCGCGUGAGUGAUGAAGGCCUUCGGGUUGUAAAACUCUUUCGCGCACGACGAUAAUGACGGUAGUGCGAGAAGAAGCUCCGGCUAACUUCGUGCCAGCAGCCGC